AUCGAACGCUGGCGGCAGGCCUAACACAUGCAAGUCGAGCGUGCGGCGGACGGGUGAGUACUGUAUGGGGAUCUGCCCGUUAGCGGGGGAUAACUACUGGAAACGACGUCUAAUACCGCACACUAUCCGAUGUACCCAUAUGGGAUUAGCUAGUAGGUGAGGUAAUGGCCUACCUAGGCGACGAUCCCUAGCUGGUAUGAGAGGAUGAUCAGCCACACUGGGACUGAGACACGGCCCAGACUCCUACGGGAGGCAGCAGUGGGGAAUAUUGCACAAUGGACGCAAGCCUGAUGCAGCCAUGCCGCGUGAAUGAAGAAGGCCCUAGGGUUGUAAAGUACUUUCGGUAGGGAGGCGUUACCGACAGAAGAAGCACCGGCUAACUCCGUGCCAGCAGCCGCGGUAAUUC
rnacentral:rRNA from 1 species